CCUACGGGUGGCAGCAGUGAGGAAUAUUGGUCAAUGGACUUACGCCUGAACCAACCAAGUCGCGUGAGGGAAGACUGCCCUAUGGGUUGUAAACCUCUUUUGUCAGGGAGUAAUAGGCGCUACGUGUAGCGUUAUCGAGAGUACCUGAAGAAAAAGCAUCGGCUAACUCCGUGCCAGCAGCCGCGGUAAUACGGAGGAUGCGAGCGUUAUCCGGAUUUAUUGGGUUUAAAGGGUGCGUAGGCGGAAUGCCAAGUCAGUGGUAAAAUCCCCGCGCUAAACGUGGGAACUGCCUUUGAAACUGGCAAACUGGAGUGUGUGAGAGGAUAGUGGAAUUCGAGGUGUAGGAGUGAAAUGCGUAGAUAUCUGGAGGAACAUCAGUGGCGAAGGCGACUAUCUGGCACAUAACUGACGCUGAGGAGCGAAAGCAUGGGUAGCAAACAGGAUUAGAUACCCCUGUAGUC
rnacentral:rRNA from 1 species